ACACUCCUACGGGAGGCAGCAGUGGGGAAUAUUGCACAAUGGGCGCAAGCCUGAUGCAGCCAUGCCGCGUGUAUGAAGAAGGCCUUCGGGUUGUAAAGUACUUUCAGCGGGGAGGAAGGCGAUAAGGUUAAUAACCUUGUCGAUUGACGUUACCCGCAGAAGAAGCACCGGCUAACUCCGUGCCAGCAGCCGCGGUAAUACGGAGGGUGCAAGCGUUAAUCGGAAUUACUGGGCGUAAAGCGCACGCAGGCGGUCUGUCAAGUCGGAUGUGAAAUCCCCGGGCUCAACCUGGGAACUGCAUUCGAAACUGGCAGGCUAGAGUCUUGUAGAGGGGGGUAGAAUUCCAGGUGUAGCGGUGAAAUGCGUAGAGAUCUGGAGGAAUACCGGUGGCGAAGGCGGCCCCCUGGACAAAGACUGACGCUCAGGUGCGAAAGCGUGGGGAGCAAACAGGAUUAGAUACCCUUGUAGUCCCAUG
rnacentral:rRNA from 1 species